AUAAAAAAAGAUGGCUAAAUUACAGAAAACUCCCCGUAAUAACCCGCUUUUUUACUUUUCCCCCCUGACAUUUAAAAACCUACACUUUGUCCCCUUGUAAAAUGAAAAAUGUUCACAGGGGGGUUACGGUGUGUAAAAUGACCAUUUUGCCCCUCGCCAUUGUUGUCUUCUUCCUGAGCUUCCUCAGCCGCCCCUUCAAUCCGCUGCUAUUUCCACCUCAAUCGGCCACGAUUCCUCUCCAAUUUCUUCUCCACCUGCUCCCCUUCUCCUCCUACAUCGUCAUCGCCCAUCGAUUUCGGCGACAGUAGGGAAGAUACUAAGAUGGGUGUUGAUGGAGAGGUAGGCAGGGACAACUAGGGCGAAGGCGAGGCGGCGGAGGAGGACGAAGCAGUUGUGGGCGAGGGCGAAGCAGUGGAGAACGGCGAGGCGGCGAGGCGGCGAAGCGGCGAGCCGGAAGGAGCGAAGCAUCAGAGAAGAGGCAGAGGGGUAUUUUCGGUAUAAAAAAAUAUUUUUUAACAGAACCCCUGACGGAACCCUAACGGUAGGGGUGAAGUGCACAUUUUUCAUUUUACAAGGGGGCAAAGUGUAGGUUUUUAAAUGUCAGGGGGGGAAAGUGAAAAAGCGGGUUAUUACAGGGGGGUUUUCUGUAAUUUAGCCAAAAAAGAUUUACAAUUUAAAAUUUAGAGUGGUACUGAAGAUAAUUUUAUAUGUUUAAAAAAGUAUUAGUACAGUUUCAACUUAUUAGAGAGAUCUUGAUGAUACUUUAGAUUUUAGAGAAAUAUUUAUGAUUUUUUAAAGUUUUGAAGGGUUGGGUUUGAAAUU
rnacentral:lncRNA from 1 species